CAGGGAGACAACACAAUGAUUUUGAUGCCUGAGUGCUUUUAUUCUUAGGCCGAAAUCCUGUCGCCUUAGGUCGAUCGGUACCUCAGCUUUGAAGUUAAGAAUCAGCAGCAAUGUUGAUUGCUUGAUGGAGAUUUUCAGUUCCUAAACUUUGUCUAGGUCACACCCCAAAAGGGAUGAGACUCCUGGGCCAUUAGCUCAGGUGGUUAGAGCGCACCCCUGAUAAGGGUGAGGUCCCUGGUUCAAGUCCAGGAUGGCCCAUUCGGUGUUGGGGGUUUAGCUCAGUUGGUAGAGCGCCUGCUUUGCAAGCAGGAUGUCAGGAGUUCGAGUCUCCUAACCUCCACUGACCGAACUUGAUUCCCAUCUCCAAUUUUUUUGGAGUUGAGCUCGAUUGGCGUGUGAUUUAGAUGUGUCCGCUGGAUGACCCCAGCUUCCUGUCAUUCCAAAUUUAAGUUUUUGAUGCUUUGAAUUUGGUUGAUAAGAUGCUGGGCUCGGAUCAAAUGAUCAAGCAAUUGAUGAUUUGAUUUGAAGUUCUAGCAGAACCUUGACAACUGCAUAGGUGAGUCUGGAAAAAACAAAGCAUCUUACAGAUGCAUUGUUUUGAAUCUGAUCUUCUGAAAGGGAGAUUGGAUCUAGAACAAUGAAAAUUCUUUUGAGCAAGAGCCGAGACUCUUGAGCGUUCUUUGAUUGGUGUCGAGCCAAUCAGAGUUUGAUUUUGUUUUAGGGAUCAACGAAAGUUGAUAAUUAAAACUUGAGAAUCUGCUUUCAACGGCGGUAAGCGUUCAGGAGGUUAAUU
rnacentral:tRNA from 1 species